rnacentral:lncRNA from 1 species
AUGGUGCUACAAAAUUAUGGCACAUGCAUUUGAGAUAUAUGAGUGUGCAUGACAUGAAAGAACUAUGCAAAAGAGGACUGUUGAGGGGAGUCCGCAAAUGCAAGCUAGAUUUGUGCAAGUAUGGUGUGUCUAGAAACAAACACGAAUUAGUUUCAAGGUUGGCCAACACAGGACUCGGAGCAUUCUAGAUUAUGUCCACACUUAUGUAUGGGGACC